AUUUAAGUAGUUUAAUUUAAAAUAUUGAUUUGUGGAAUCAAUGAUAUAUUGAAAGAUAUCUUAGAUA
rnacentral:tRNA from 1 species